GCGACGGCGCUCCGGCGACAUCUUUGUUGUGGGCAAAGUGUGCCAACCGCGAGUAGCAGGUGUUCUCUCAGGCUUACAUUUGUGAGCGUACGGAAUCUUUAAGAAUCUCGUGUUUACAAGGUAAAACUUUAGUAGCUCGUUAAAUAACUAGUUUUCAGGAUUGUUUGUAUUAAAUGAGGACUGGUCUGAGGCCUAAGAAUCUGCGUAUUCCGCCAGUUCUGCAAGAGAUUCUUAAACACUAAACUCCAAUUUUGACGACUUUUCAGGCCCUCUGACUCUGUCUUCCUUAACAGUGAUCCUUGCCCUUACUGGCUUCAUUGAUACUUCAAGGUGAGAUUCGCAGAAAAUAAGUUAGGUUUCAUAGUAGUUAGCAGCCUUAUUUAGCUUCCAAGAACUGUCUGCCUAUAACCACCUAACUAUUGACUUUCGUGGAGGGCGGGGCGCGGUGGGGGUGGGAAUCAGUACCUUGCUCAUCAAUAUUGGGACAGAAUGAAGCCAGCACAGAAAAGUUUGUAUGCUUCGAUUUUAACAAACAGACAAACAAAGACGUGUAAGUAUGUACUUCUCUAGAGUCUAAAGAUAUUCCAGAGAUGUUAGCAUUCUUUAAAAUAAUUUGGGAGGUCCUCCGAGAAUUUUUCAUUCUUGGGCCCCUUCUUCACAGUGGGCCCAAGAACAAAUUCUUAGUUUCGUUAUUAACGUUAAUAAAUACGAUUUAUUCUUUUUUGUUUGUUUGUCUUUUUGCCAUUUCUUGGGUCGCUCCCGAGGCAUAUGGAGGUUCCCAGGCUAGGGGUCGAAUCGGAGCUGCAGCCGCCAGCCUACGCCAGAGCCACAGCAACGCAGGAUCCGAGCUGCGUCUGCAACCUACACCACAGCUCACGGCAAUACCAGAUCCUUAACCCACUGAGCGAGGCCAGGGACGAACUUGAAACCUCGUGGUCCCUAGUCGGGUUCGUUAACCACUGAGCCACGACGGGAACUCCAAUACGAUUUAUUCUUAUCCUUUAAGAAUAAAUUGAUUUUAGGAAUGAUCAGUCAUUCCAAGUUCACCUUCUGGGGGAAUUUAGAGACCAAGCUGGAUAAGCCAUCUAUGACCAAAACCUUUAGAAGUGAGAGUUUUCCUGCUCAUGUAGUAUCUUUCCAUUUAUUAAUUACUUUCAGUUUGCUUUUUAUUCCUGUGCUUCCCCAGGGAAGUUGAAAUAACUUUCAAAUGAAGAUUGUGAUCCAAUUACCGAAUCCAAAGUUUCCUCCCUUAAUAUUGAUCACCCUUAAUCUUCCUGCAUCAUUUGAUUCUGUUAAAUUAAUCAAGAAUGUAGUACAUCAAAGCACCUGACACUGUCUGGUAGUACAUUCUCAAAUUUUAUAAAAAGGCACUUUCUCGCCCUUGCUGGAAACUCUGCUCCCUUGAUUUUGUGAUAAAGCUUCACGAUGGGCUUUUCCUUUUCUUCCAUCAUUAGUGUAGACAUUCCUGUUUAUGAUUCAAUCCACCCUUGACUCCUUUGCACCCAUAGUUGCCUCAAAUCUUUGGUGGAGAAAGGUGGUAUUUAAAUCUAAAUAUAUCAACAGGAUUGUCUCAUCCUGUUGCACUAGUUCUGGCCGUUUCUUCCUAAGCAUCCUGUUGGAGCUCUGAUACCAACAGGGCUUCCAAACUUCAAAACUUCUCCUCUUCCCAAUCCAGAUAAGUUCUGAAUUUCCUUUUUCAGUUGAUGGCAAGAUUUUUUUUUUUUCUAGUUACAAGUUACAAAAUUCUGAAGUCAUCUUUCACAGCCUCCCAAGGCCCCCGCCCCUUAAAUUCUCCCACCUCUAUGCCAACUGUCCACUUUCUCUCCCUUUUCUGCUCCCACUGGGAAAUCACUACCCAUAAUCUGGGCUGUUACCCUUUUAACUGGCCUCCCCAUUCCAAUAUUUUUCUUUCUCUAAUUCUAGAUAUUGGAUCCACAAAGAACCUAUUUUUGCAGUUUGUGACAAAGACAUCCCAAAUUUGAAGCCCCAAAUACAAAAACAAAUUGAUAACUUACUUUUUUUUUAAACAAAUUCAAAAGUCCAUACAGCAGUACAAUAAUUUUUAAAAACACUUGAAAUUGAAAUAGCCUGGAAGGGCAGUAGAUUAGAUAUUGGAUCUUCCAUGUUCCCGUUUAUAGGAACAGUCUACUCUUAAGCUCACAGUCUUCAGUGGAUCUCUAUACCAACCAAUGAGGUACAAGUUCAACUUGGAGUUCAUGGCCCUCACCUGCUGCUAUGCCACCUUACUCACCACACGUGUGUGUAUGAUACUUAUGCAUAUAUUCCUUAUAUUCUUGACCAUUCAUGGGUCUCUGAGAUUGUUUCAUGCUUUCCUAACUACUUACCUGUAUCUAUGCUAUUUCUGCCACCUAGAAAACCAUCCUACUCUCUGAUCACCUUCUACUUCUUGAAACCCUAACUGCCCUUAAAGGUCCACUUAAAAUGUCCCAUCUUUUAUGAUUUCCUGAGGGCUCCAACUUUUAAAUCGCUAUUUGUUGGCUCUUAGGGUACUUGUCAAUAGUAUCAUUCUGUUCAAUAGUAUCAUUAUCUAUAUUUUUGCCCUGUUUUCCCCACCAGAUUAUAAAUUCUGUGUUUGAGGCCAAGGUCUGCAUCUCAUGUCCACAUCUUCAUGGAGCUAAUUAUAUUGAGCAUGUCGUAGUUGUUGGGUAUAAUGUAAAGAGAUCUUUUUCCUUGUUUGAGUGAUAAAUUGGAAUUAUAAUUCCAGGAGUUCCCUCUGCCAUGCAGAGGGUUAAGUUUCCGGCGUUGUCUCUGUGGUGGCACAGGUUCAGUCCCCAGCCCUGUACAGUGGGUGAGGGAUCUGGUGUUCAGCAGCUGUAGUGUGACUCGCUGCAGCUUGGAUUCAGAUUGGAUCCCUGGACUGGAAACUUCCUGAUGCCUUGGAUGUGGUCAGAAAAGUAAAGAAAAAAGAAAAGAUAGUUCUAAAAAGGUUUUGAGCAAUGUCCGCAUAUUUAGAAAUACUGUACAGCCUCCAAAAACCUAGAGAAGGUCAAAUUUAUCUGAAUGGUUAAAUCGAGUCCACUCAUUCAAAACCAGUUACUUCUCUUCCUGUGUUUGGUUGUCUCUUAACUUAUAGUAGCCCAGCUGGGAUUAGGUUGAGGUGAGCUGCAUACUCUUAGCACUCCACAAGUGCCCCGUCAGUAGCUGCAAAGAAUCCCUUAGAGACUGACCAAGAUUUUUCUUUCUACACAGGCUUAUAAGUAGGGAGAAUGUGUUCAAACACAGCAUUCAUUCUUCUACUUGUCAGCCGUAAAAAUAAGUUUAUUAAGAUGGAUUAGUACAUUUUUCAACUUAGUAUGUUUUCAAGUUAGGUUUUUUUGGACCCAAUUAUGAGAAUGCAUCUAAAUAUUUAUUUGAGCAAUGAUUUUCUUGGUUAUCUUGGAAUUAUUACCCAGCAUUGCUAUUCGUCUUUUCCUUUGAUUAUAUCUUUUUUGUCAUUUAACGCAGCCUGAGAGUUUCUUACCUAUGAGAUUUUAUAUUUUGUAUAUUAAAGGCAUUCAACUUAACCAAAUCUUUGAAAUUUAUGAAUAUUUUUCCUUGAAUGGGGAGUAUUUGCAUUAUAAAUGGGAAACUUUAUUAAAAUAUAUGACCCUGAAUUUCUAUAAUCUCUGUUUUCCCAUUGAUUUGUAAAAACUCCUUAAAUAUUUCAGUAGCAAAUUAGUAAAGAUAUCAUUAGUCAUUUCACAGGAAAAAUAGAAAUAAACAAGCAUGGACUAAAUAUACUGAUUAAAAAAGCCCUAGGAGGAGGGAGUGGGAUGGACUGGGAGUUUGGGGUUAGUAGAUGCACACUAUAGCAUUUAGAUAAGCAUUUAGAUAAGAUUGUGCUGUACAGCACAGGGAACUAUAUUUAAUCACUUGUGAUGGAGGAUAAUGUGAGAAAAAGAGUAUGCGUGUGACUGGGUCACUUUACUGUACAGCAGAAAUUGACAGAGCAUUGUAAAUCAACUAUAAU
rnacentral:lncRNA from 1 species